rnacentral:rRNA from 1 species
AGUGAACGCUGGCGGUAGGCCUAACACAUGCCAGUCGAACGGCAGCACAGUAAGAGCUUGCUCUUACGGGUGGCGAGUGGCGGACGGGUGAGGAAUACAUCGGAAUCUACUUUUUCGUGGGGGAUAACGUAGGGAAACUUACGCUAAUACCGCAUACGACCUACGGGUGAAAGCAGGGGAUCUUCGGACCUUGCGCGAUUGAAUGAGCCGAUGUCGGAUUAGCUAGUUGGCGGGGUAAAGGCCCACCAAGGCGACGAUCCGUAGCUGGUCUGAGAGGAUGAACAGCCACACUGGAACUGAGGCGCGGUCCAGACUCCUACGGGAGGCAGGAGGGGGGAAUAUUGGACAAUGGGCGCAAGCCUGAACCAGCCAUACCGCGUUGGUGAAGGAGGCCUUCGGGUUGUAAAGCCCUUUUGUUGGGAAAGAAAAGCAGCAGGUUAAUACCCCGCUGUUCUGACGGUACCCAAAGAAUAAGCACCGGCUAACUUCGUG